rnacentral:rRNA from 1 species
CCUAAGGUAGCGAAAUUCCUUGUCGGGUAAGUUCCGACCUGCACGAAUGGCGUAAUGAUGGCCAGGCUGUCUCCACCCGAGACUCAGUGAAAUUGAACUCGCUGUGAAGAUGCAGUGUACCCGCGGCAAGACGGAAAGACCCCGUGAACCUUUACUAUAGCUUGACACUGAACACUGGUCCUUGAUGUGUAGGAUAGGUGGGAGGCUUUGAAGCGUGGACGCCAGUCUGCGUGGAGCCAU